rfam:Steinernema glaseri strain NC unplaced genomic scaffold GLAS_5650, whole genome shotgun sequence.
CGCUUCGUCAUUAGGGAGUAGCCGCUUCGGAUUACCGAAGAUCAGCGUCAACAUACUUGGCCUACACAGGGUCAUGGCGCUGAUAGCAACUAGCCUGGCAAGACUUUUGACCAUGGACCUUCGCGUUUGGCCGGGAGGGUUUGUGGUCAUUUGUCUCUUAUCCGGCCAGGAGUU